UACAGAAGGUGCGAGCGUUAAUCGGAAUUACUGGGCGUAAAGGGCGCGUAGGCGGCCUCUGCAAGUCGACUGUGAAAUCUCCGGGCUUAACCCGGAAAGGUCAGCCGAUACUGCAGGGCUAGAGUGCAGAAGGGGCAACUGGAAUUCUCGGUGUAGCGGUGAAAUGCGUAGAUAUCGAGAGGAACACCUGCGGCGAAGGCGGGUUGCUGGGCUGACACUGACGCUGAGGCGCGAAAGCGUAGGGGAGCGAACGGG
rnacentral:rRNA from 1 species